rnacentral:rRNA from 1 species
GACGAACGCUGGCGGCGUGCUUAACACAUGCAAGUCGAACGGAAAGGCCCUGCUUUUGUGGGGUGCUCGAGUGGCGAACGGGUGAGUAACACGUGAGUAACCUGCCCUUGACUUUGGGAUAACUUCAGGAAACUGGGGCUAAUACCGGAUAGGAGCUCCUGCUGCAUGGUGGGGGUUGGAAAGUUUCGGCGGUUGGGGAUGGACUCGCGGCUUAUCAGCUUGUUGGUGGGGUAGUGGCUUACCAAGGCUUUGACGGGUAGCCGGCCUGAGAGGGUGACCGGCCACAUUGGGACUGAGAUACGGCCCAGACUCCUACGGGAGGCAGCAGUGGGGAAUAUUGCACAAUGGGCGGAAGCCUGAUGCAGCAACGCCGCGUGCGGGAUGACGGCCUUCGGGUUGUAAACCGCUUUCGCCUGUGACGAAGCGUGACUGACGGUAAUGGGUAAAGAAGCACCGGCUAACUACGUG